CCCUCCCUUAUCCAUCGUGCUGCACAGUCCUUUGGUCGGUUGUAAGGGUUGGUGAUGAGCUGGCCUGAGCUCCUCCAGCUCUGGCAGUGGCGCCAGCGAUGCCUGUUGCGACCGCCAGAGAAGCAACGCUGCGAAGCCGCGCCGCCCGGCAUAGCCCUUUCAUCAUGAGAGCUCCGCGUGGUCGUCCCCCACCCCUGUGCAUGGUACUGCUCAUCCCCACGCUCAGAACAGCGCAGAGCGCGCUCUCUGCAGACACCGCGCCCGUGUUGAGCCGCUUCGUCGAGAGCCUGCCUCAGCACACAGUUCCUCAAAGCCAGUAGUGAAAUGGAGCCCCCGCAGACUGCUUUAGCUGCCCUAACCCCCGUAAGCACCUGCCAAACCUCUGGCUCGCCGUAAUCGGCACCGGAAUCAACCCUGAUGCGGCACCCCUCUCGACCGCCUAUAAAUAGAACCCCCCGAGCCUUGCUAAAGCCAUCACCCUCCUCCACCCCACCAGAGCCACGAAUAAGCCACUCGGAAGGCUUCGAGAAGGUCAUCUUCCUCGCAUCUGGCUGCCCGAUUUAGAUUCGGGUUCCGGUUAAAUUAAAGCACGUGAAUGCAUCCCCACAGCCCAAACUUAGCCAACAUGCUCCUCGCGCACCUGCCCAUCUAACCCGCUCACCAAUUCGGUGUUUGCAGGCUUCUCCGACAAGAUCCACCUGCACCCGAAAGCGCCGCCCCUCGGAGUUGGAGCUGUCAUCAACGUGGUGCUCACCGACGACUGCAUCCACCUCCAUCAGGUGCAGAAUCAACCAGCGAGUGCGCCUUUGUCCUUUCCCCCUCUAGUUUGCCGCAAGACACCGCUGGCGAUCUUGGAGUCCGUCGUUGUAUCAUUUCACCGCUUCUACCAUCAUGAAUAAAUAGUCAAGCCUCAUUUUGAUGUUUGGCAUGUAGUAGUACUUAAGAUGUGUCACUUCACUCGGAUGUGACAUGCCUACCUAUUUAUGUGAGCACUAGAGCAACCCCAUGACCAUAGUAUGGGUGUGUUGUGAUAAACAAUUGAGCGGCCUUCGCUCUACCCUGUUUAAUAUUAAGUACUACUGAGUUGGUCUAUCAGUGAGAAUGAUUUUAUGCACUUGUGACAUUCGUGGCUGGUUUUCGAUAAUUAUAUUAUUUGGAAACCGGUCCUAA
rnacentral:lncRNA from 1 species